GCUCGUUCAGCUCCAGGCAGAGCUGCGACACAGACGUAUGUGGCCAUGAGCGCUGAGACACCACCAGGCUCCUCCGUCGUGUGAAGCCGCCACGUGGAGCAUCGAAACGAAUGCAGCUUCCGGCUCAGUUAUCCAGAGAAGGAACUGGGGCAGCGAUGCGGUCCUUCGUUGUGAGCCACCGCAGCUCCAGACCCGGACUGUGCAUGUUCCCGACGGCGAGUACGGAGCGACGGCCCCACCUUUUUCAGCGCCUCCGUGUCCAUCAGCUCCUGCACGGCCAGCAACGACACUCUGCAGGGUACAGCGGUGGCAGCCAGGACCCAGGGUCAGUGUCACCACGCCACCGUUCAGCUAUGCAACAUGCAGGCGCAGUGUCGGCCUAGUUAUCUUAAAUUCUUCACUCACGAAGCUGACGAUUGUAAUCUUUGCGCUCACUGUUACUCACAUCUGAGCAGCUUUGGAGCAUCAGAGAUACUUUUGUAACCCACCAGAUAAAAAUCUGGUGCUGCCGCUUUGGCAGAAUCAUUUUCUAGCUCUGCGGAAUUUUUCCAGGGCCACAGUGCAGCAGAUAAUGCGCUGGGGUCUGCACAAAACAUGUUUACAUAACGAUCCGCUAUCAAAGUGACUGUAAAUAUGUAAAGCACUGGAAUUCGGGACAGAUAUCUAAUCAUUUCUACUCCCGUUUACCCAUGACCAGGGAUAAAAAUAAAAAAGUAGAAGUUCCAGAAUGAAA